AUGCAGUCGAGCGGUAGAGAGAAGCUUGCUUCUCUUGAGAGCGGCGGACGGGUGAGUAAUGCCUAGGAAUCUGCCUGGUAGUGGGGGAUAACGUUCGGAAACGGACGCUAAUACCGCAUACGUCCUACGGGAGAAAGCAGGGGACCUUCGGGCCUUGCGCUAUCAGAUGAGCCUAGGUCGGAUUAGCUAGUUGGUGGGGUAAUGGCUCACCAAGGCGACGAUCCGUAACUGGUCUGAGAGGAUGAUCAGUCACACUGGAACUGAGACACGGUCCAGACUCCUACGGGAGGCAGCAGUGGGGAAUAUUGGACAAUGGGCGAAAGCCUGAUCCAGCCAUGCCGCGUGUGUGAAGAAGGUCUUCGGAUUGUAAAGCACUUUAAGUUGGGAGGAAGGGCAGUAAAUUAAUACUUUGCUGUUUUGACGUUACCGACAGAAUAAGCACCGGCUAACUCUGUGCCAGCAGCCGCGGUAAUACAGAGGGUGCAAGCGUUAAUCGGAAUUACUGGGCGUAAAGCGCGCGUAGGUGGUUAGUUAAGUUGGAUGUGAAAUCCCCGGGCUCAACCUGGGAACUGCAUUCAAAACUGACUGACUAGAGUAUGGUAGAGGGUGGUGGAAUUUCCUGUGUAGCGGUGAAAU
rnacentral:rRNA from 1 species